rnacentral:sRNA from 1 species
CCCUGUGUCCUCACCAUCCCUGAUGGCUGCAGGGAGCCGCUGGGCCCUGCCCCUCAGUCACAUUCCCGCACCUCUGGCACAGGUUGGUGGUUCUGUCAGAUGAAAGCAAAGCGAGGCUGGAUCCCAGCGUCCUUCCUCGAGCCCCUGGACAGUCCUGACGAGACGGAAGACCCUGAGCCCAACUAUGCAGGUGAGCCAUACGUUGCCAUCAAGGCCUACACUGCUGUGGAGGGGGACGAGGUGUCCCUGCUCGAGGGUGAAGCUGUUGAGGUCAUUCACAAGCUCCUGGACGGCUGGUGGGUCAUCAGGUAGGAGGGCCCCUCUCCAUCCAGAGCACCCAUCUGAGUCAGCCCCAGCCAGGACGGGGUGUUUAGGGAUCUGGGGUGACUUGUCCCUGGGACUCUGGGUAAGCCACUGCCCCUCUCUGGGCUUAGUUUCCAUCUUAGUAGCAGGGAGGGAUGAGCCCACCCUUGCCUGUCUUGUGGGGAUCCAAUGUCCUUGUCCAAGUGGGUGCAUUUCUCCUUUGUGAUUUAGGGUCUCUUCCCAACCAUCUAU